rfam:Salmo salar isolate Sally breed double haploid chromosome ssa07, whole genome shotgun sequence.
UGCAUUCACUAGUGUAGUCGCUCUAGAUAAGAGCGUCUGCUAAAUGACUAACA